rfam:Ciona savignyi cont_35838, whole genome shotgun sequence.
UCCUAGAUGGUCUAGUGCUUAGGAUACCUGGCUUUCACCCAGGCGGCCCGGGUUCGAUUCCCGGUGUAUGAA